rnacentral:rRNA from 1 species
UUCUACGGCCAUGCUACCCUGAACAAGUCCAAUCCCGUCUGAUCUUGGAAGCUAAGCAGGGUCAGGACUGGUUAGUACAUGGAUGGGAGACCACCAAGGAAGACCAGGUGCUGCAGGCU